UUUUCGAACGCAGUUUACUUACUGUUUACCAGUUCUCGAGCGCCGAGUUACACAAAAACGACUGAAUCGUCGAACCGCAUGUUUCUCACGUUGCCGCGGCCGCCCGAGUUUUCCUCUGCCACCCUACACUCUCUCGAAUCUCCGUACUCUCUAACCUAGUUUCUCCAGUUCUUCUCACUUGUCGUCUUCCUUGCCAGUUCGUGGACUGGGA
ensembl:ncRNA C14F11.30 ncRNA